rnacentral:rRNA from 1 species
AUUGAACGCUGGCGGCAGGCCUAACACAUGCAAGUCGAGCGGCAGCGGGAAAGUAGCUUGCUACUUUUGCCGGCGAGCGGCGGACGGGUGAGUAAUGCCUGGGAAAUUGCCCAGUCGAGGGGGAUAACAGUUGGAAACGACUGCUAAUACCGCAUACGCCCUACGGGGGCAAGCAGGGGACCUUCGGGCCUUGCGCGACUGGAUAUGCCCAGGUGUGAUUAGCUAGUUGGUGAGGUAAUGGCUCACCAAGGCGACGAUCCCUAGCUGGUCUGAGAGGAUGAUCAGCCACACUGGAACUGAGACACGGUCCAGACUCCUACGGGAGGCAGCAGUGGGGAAUAUUGCACAAUGGGGGAAACCCUGAUGCAGCCAUGCCGCGUGUGUGAAGAAGGCCUUCGGGUUGUAAAGCACUUUCAGCGAGGAGGAAAGGUUGAUGCCUAAUACGUAUCAACUGUGACGUUACUCGCAGAAGAAGCACCGGCUAACUCCGUGCCAGCCGCCGCGGUAA